rnacentral:rRNA from 1 species
UGAGGGAUAUUGGGCAAUGGGGGCAACCCUGACCCAGCGACGCCGCGUGGAGGACGACGGGCUUCGGCCUGUAAACUCCUUUUGCCGAGGACGAGACAAGGACGGUACUCGGCGAAUAAGUCUCGGCUAACUACGUGCCAGCAGCCGCGGUAAAACGUAGGAGGCAAGCGUUAUCCGGAAUUACUGGGCGUAAAGGGCGUCUAGGCGGAGGGUCAAGCGCGGUGUGAAAGCUCCUGGCUCAACUGGGAGAGUGCGCUGCGAACUGGUCUUCUAGAGGGCAGGCGACGGCGGUGGAAUUCCCGGUGGAGUGGUGAAAUGCGUAGAGAUCGGGAGGAACACCAGUGGCGAAGGCGGCCGCCGAGCCUGUUGCUGACGCUGAAGCGCGAAAGCGUGGGGAGCAAACGGG